CUAAAACUGAAGCAACAACCCCUUCUUUAACUUAGUUUAGUACUCACUUCCAGAACAAGAAACUGUUUUAAACUCUAAACACUCAUCAAUAUCUCUCAAAACUCAAAAGGAAUUGUGGUUUGUGAUUGUGAGUUUGUCUUUCUGUCUCUCUGAAACUCUCUGAAUCCCAACAAACCAAAAUUCACGAAAAUGCCACUCUUCUCCAACACUCACACUCACCGUUCCUCUUCUCCUUCUCUCCCAACCUCAUACACCUCCAAACCUCUCAAACCUCAAAAACCCAAUUCUACCCUUGUCCCCACCAACCUCCCCUUCCCCAUUCUCGUCUUUUCACUUCUCUGCUUUAUCUUUGGCCUCGUCGGCACUAUCCUUGCCGUUUCUGCUCUCCGGCGACCCAGACCCGUGCCCGUUUUCCGAUGUGGCAGAUCCGAAGACACUUUCCGGGCUUUCUACUCGAAAGGUGACAAUGGUGGGGGCUUGGUGGAGCGGCCUAAGCAACUUGGGUUCGUUGGUAUUCACACCGGGUUUGCAUCCUCCGAUCGUCGCUUGGCUUUGAGGGAGACUUGGUUUCCUUCUGACGCAGAUGGGCUUUUGAGGUUGGAACAAGCUACUGGAAUAGCUUUUAGGUUUGUAAUUGGAAGAUCAAAAAAUGCAAAAAAGAUGGCAGAGCUUCAUAAAGAGAUGGAGAAGUACAAAGAUUUCAUGGUUAUUGAUGUUGAGGAAAACAAUUUAAACCUUCCCUACAAAUCCCUGGCAUUCUUCAAAGCAGCCUUUGAGCUUUUUGAAGCUGAUUAUUAUGUCAAAGUUGAUGAUGUCAUUUAUUUACGUCCAGAUCGGCUAGCAAUUCUUCUAGCUAAGGAGCGAACACAUCCACUGACUUACAUCGGAUGCAUGAAGAAAGGACCAGUGAUCACUGACCCUAAAAUGAAAUGGUAUGAGAAAUCAGGACAUCUGAUUGGAAAUGAAUACUUUUUGCAUGCUUAUGGUCCUAUGUAUGUUCUUUCUGCAGAGGUGGUAGCUUCACUGGCAGCUGCUAGAAAUAACAGUCUUCAGUUUGAGGAUGUUUAGCAAUGAGGAUGUCACAAUUGGGUCAUGGAUGCUUUCUAUGAAUGUCCAUCAUGAAGAUAACCGGGCAAUAUGUGACCCUCGAUGCACACCUACAUCUAUUGCAGUAUGGGACAUCCCAAAAUGUUCAGGUUUAUGCAAUCCAACUAAGAGGCUGAAGGAGCUUCACAAGAUUGGUAUGUGCUCCAGAAGUCCAACCUUGCCUCCUGAUGUUGAUGAUAGAUAGUGCCUCUCUGGUAUGAGAUUAUACUCUCUACAUUCUGAAAAUACAUGAAUAUCAGUCGGGAUAUUUCUUGGUUCCUAGGGGAAAAUAGAUUUUUAAAGGUACCUUCCAGAAGACAUGACAUCUCCUUUGACCUUUUGUAUCCAUCCAUUAAGUCUUGUUGUACAAGUGGUGUAUUCUUAGUGAGCAUUUCUCUUGCGCCAUCUUCCGUAGAUGAUUCCACUCAUUAUUUUAUAGUACCAUUGAAUAGGUUAGACAUCAUCGGUACCACAGAAAUAUAUGAACAGUAUUGCAAUGUUUUUUUGUGCUGGAUUCGAAAAUUAAUUAGAGGUGUGUACUAUAACUGAGUACAAUGUAUCUUUGGAUCACAACUGUUGUUUGUAGUUUUAUGAUAGCAUCUUAUACAUGUUGUACACUCUUGUUUUAUACUCCGCCAA